UUCGUAGGCGGUGCGGUAAGUCGGAAGUGAAAUCUCUGGGCUUAACUCAGAGGCUGCUUUCGAAACUGGCGGGCUAGAGUUCUGGAGGGGGUAGCGGAAUUCCUGGUGUAGCGGUGAAAUGCGUAGAUAUCAGGAGGAACACCGGUGGCGAAGGCGGCUACCUGGACAGAAACUGACGCUGAGGCACGAAAGCUAGGGGAGCAAACA
rnacentral:rRNA from 1 species